GCUGGUGUAGCUCAAUUGGCAGAGCAACUGUCUUGUAAACAGUCGAUCGCAGGUUCAAUUCCUGUCACCAGCCCCA
rnacentral:tRNA from 1 species